GCACGUGCGGCUGAGGCUGCUGGUGGACGUGGUGGCGGUUAAGAAACCCAAAAUCACCGAACAGACCCUGAAACAUAUGAGGAAAGACAAGUGAAAAUGUUAACAGUUUUUUACCACGAGUUCUCGUUCACCAUCAGGAUUUCAGUCGCAUAUGGACAUACCAGUGCAUCAUUGAUUGCAUAAGCUACGCAGUAGUGCUCCUGAAAAUCAGAAGAUUGGGACAAUACUCAGCGAAAAAUUAAUGAUAAUAUCAAUGAGCAUAUGACAAUAAAUCCUUCACUGCCCCCUGACUAGAGGAGAGAGAUAAAGAUGACCCAAAUCAUAUCGGCAUUUUCUGAUAGGGCGGUACAGGUGGCACGAUCCAGCCUCCCAGACAAAGGAGCAAUCGUUGCGUCUAGCCCUACGCAAUGAUAACUUAUAUGUUUCAUACAUUUAUAACAUCCAUUCCUAGUCACUUUGUGAUAUUUUUGAGUUAAACUAGUUGCAUUUUACCCUCUUUUGUUUUAGUGUGCAGCUAAUUGUAUUUUGGAGCUCAGUUGAGGACAAAUAAGGCAAAAUGGUGCUAAAAGUGGAGAAUUGAAUAAGGAUGCUGAUGCAGACAAAGAAUUAAAAGUGGAAACUGAAUAUGGUGAUGAAUAUGGCUCUUUAUAAGACCAAUAACAGCAAAAAAACGUGGGAAUUAAAUGCCCAAUUACUGGGAUGUAUUGGCAAUCUGUAACAGCCUCUUUAACCUUAUAAAACUGAGAGUUUCAGCCACUUUUACAACAAGCCCCCUUGGGGGUCGCCUAGAGCUCUCUCUCUUCUCUUUCUUUGGCAUUUCUUCCAGAAACAAAACCCUAAUUCCCUUCACCAUCCGCUACCACUGAAGAAACCACGCAGCCGCGCUGUUCUUGAAGAUGUUCAACAUCAGAAUUGCUUCAAGGGGGUUUCUUCUAUAGUUUCACUCAUGUUGUUCUUGAUAUUUGUAUAUUUUGUAAUCAUAUUGGGUAAUUAAGUUCAUAGCUGGGGAUUUCGAUGUA